GAAAUGAAAUCAAGCAAAAACUAGAACGGGCCUUUUCAAGAAAAAGAAAUGUUCAAGCGAAAAUGCGAUCAAACAGAAUCCAAAGACUGAAUCCGAACCACCCUUACCGACAUCUCCUUCAACUCAAUUUCAACAUCAUUUUCAUUGGACCGGAAUUGUAGAAUCUAGCACCGAAAAUGAAAUGUAACCGAAUCGCACCUUGCGGUGAAUUGAUAAGGAAACAUGGAUCUUAUGGAUUUUGCCAAGAAAUACACCAAUGGUUGAAGAGAGAUAGAAGCAUAAAUCAUCGGUGCGUGACUCUUCGGCGAUGAUAGGUCUAUGUUCAUUAAUGAAGUAUGCCAUGAAGUGGACAAUGGUUGGACAAAAGUUCAUGGCGUCAAAGUUGGAUUUUAAAGUAUCCAACUACAGAUGGUCAACCAAAGAUAAAGAAUCAAACAUUGAAGAUUGGAUUAGAAAUAGGAUGGGGAUUUAUGUUUUUUUAUUAUCAUGUUAAUUAAGGGCUUGAAUUGGACAUUGUAACUUGGUUAUAAUUUGAACCAUGUAUGUUGUAUGAAUGUAUUAUAAAAUAGAUUGGAAUGAAUUUUAUAGAAAGGUUUUGAAUGAAAA